rnacentral:rRNA from 1 species
UACGAAGGGGGCGAGCGUUGUUCGGAUUUACUGGGCGUAAAGGGCGCGUAGGCGGCUUGACAAGUCACUUGUGAAAUCUCCGGGCUUAACUCGGAACUGCCAAGUGAUACUGUCGUGCUAGAGUGCGGAAGGGGCUACUGGAAUUCUCGGUGUAGCGGUGAAAUGCGUAGAUAUCGAGAGGAACACCUGCGGCGAAGGCGGGUAGCUGGGCCGACACUGACGCUGAGGCGCGAAAGCCAGGGGAGCGAACGGG